CAAAAUGGGAUUGUCCUCUUCUUCUCCUCCCCCUCCUCUCCUUCCACACCUUGAUUUAGAUUUAAAGAGAGAAGAGGAGAGGAGAGAAAGAGUUGGGCCAUCCAUAUCUAUCUUUCGGGUUGCUGCCAUGGUAGAAGCUUGAGGGUAUUCACAAAAGAGAAAAGGACUUUGAACCUAGAAGGGUAAGACUUAAUGGAGUCGGACUGGACUACAAUGAAAGAGCACCUCUGGCCGAUGUGCCGCUACAUGUGGAAGGUAUGCUUCACCAACUUAUUACCCUUUAAAUAGUGUUUCUUUACCUCUCUGUCUUUAAGCUGAAGAUGGACACAGAUAAAAAGACAUAGUUUUCUCUAAAUCAUAGGGCAUAUCUUAUCAUUUGGCUUCUACACUAGUUGCUCUUUCUAUGACUGGGUCAGUCUCUACUCUCUCCCAUCCCAUUAUCGAGACAUUGAUUGAUUCACUCUCGCUACAAAAACCCUACUGAUGGAGUCAUCAGAAAGCUGUACAAUAUAAUACACACAUAGCUGGUCCUGGUCUGUGAAUCCACCAUCUAUUGCUGUCCCUCUUAUAAGCAAGUUGGCAUAAAAUAUAGAAAACAGUGCAGUGAGUUUUGGCCCUCACGCAUAGAUGGUCCUCCUCUUAGGGAAGCAUGCAAAUUAACUUGGGUCCCUGCCCUUCUCUCUGCAUCAAACUGUCACAAUCAUCA